UCCCAAAUGACCACACCUGCUGGGUAAUGCCCAGUGCGGGUGACCGUGAGGAUAGUGCCACAGAAACAUACCGCCUUCGGGUAAGGGUGCAAAGGUGCGGUAAGAGCGCACCAGCAGCAUCGAGAGGUGCUGGCUCGGUAAACCCCGGUGGGGAGUAAGGUAGAAGGAGCAAGGGUUGGUCGUUUUCCUGUUCCAAGCAGAAAAAGCAAUGCUUUUUUUGUGCAUCCGCUGGAGGCAUUUGGUAACAAAUGUCCAAGAUAGAUAACUGCCCUGAUGCCGAGUUUCCUCUGCAUCAGAACAGAACCCGGCUUAUGUCCGCCUCUUUCC
rnacentral:RNase_P_RNA from 1 species